GGAAAGAUUUAUUGCUGAGGGAUGAGACUGCGGUCCAUUAGCUUGAUGGUGAGGUAAUAGCUCACCAUGGCGACGAUGGAUAGCCGGCCUGAGAGGGUGACCGGUCACAUUGGGACUGCGACACGGCCCAGACUCCUACGGGAGGCAGCAGCUAAGAAUCUUCCCCAAUGGGCGCAAGCCUGAGGGAGCGACGCCGCGUGGACGAUGAAGGCCUUCGGGUUGUAAAGUCCUUUUCUACAGGAAGAAAGUUUGUGUAACAUCAAGCUGACGGUACUGUAGGAAUAAGCUCCGGCUAAUUACGUGCCAGCAGCCGCGGUAAUACGUAAGGAGCAAGCGUUGUUCGGAAUCAUUGGGCAUAAAGGGUGCGUAGGCGGAUUGUUAAGUUGGAUGUGCAAUUUCAGGGCUCAACUUUGAACUUGCAUCCAAAACUAAUAGUCUAUGAGGUUAGCAGAGGUAAGCGGAAUUUCUGGUGUAGGAGUGAAAUCUAUAGAUAUCAGAAAGAACACCGGCGGCGAAGGCGGCUUACUGGGCUAAACCUGACGCUGAAGCACGAAAGCCAGGGGAGCGAACGGGAUUAGACACCCCGGUAGUCCUGGCCGUAAACGUUGUAUACUAGGUGUAUGAGGCAUCGAUCCCUCAUGUGCCGAAGCAAAUGCAUUAAGUAUACCGCCUGGGGAGUACGGUCGCAAGACUGAAACUCAAAGGAAUUGACGGGGGCCCGCACAAGCGGUGGAGCAUGUGGUUUAAUUCGAUGAUACGCGAGGAACCUUACCAGGGUUCACAUGUAUCUGGCGACGUAAGAGAUUGCGUCUCCCUUUGGGCAGAUACACAGGUGCUGCAUGGUUGUCGUCAGCUCGUGUCGUGAGAUGUUGGGUUAAGUCCCGCAACGAGCGCAACCCCUAUUCACUGUUGCAAACAGGUUAUGCUGUGCGCUCGGUGGAAACUGACUGUGAAAGCAGAAGGAAGGUGGGGAUGACGUCAAAUCCUCAUGGCCCUUAUGCCCUGGGCUACACACGUGCUACAAUGGUCGGUACAAAGAGUUGCUAAACUGCGAGGUGGAGCUAAUCUCAAAAAGCCGAUCUCAGUUCGGAUUGAAGUCUGAAACCCGACUUCAUGAAGUUGGAAUCGCUAGUAAUCG
rnacentral:rRNA from 1 species